AGAAUCAACGCUGGCGGCGUGCCUAACACAUGCAAGUCGAACGAGAAAGUGGAGCAAUCCAUGAGUAAAGUGGCGCACGGGUGAGUAACACGUGACUAACCUACCCUUGAGUGGGGAAUAACUUCGGGAAACCGAGGCUAAUACCGCAUAAUACCUACGGGUCAAAGGAGCAAUUCGCUUAAGGAGGGGGUCGCGGCAGAUUAGUUAGUUGGCAGGGUAAUGGCCUACCAAGACGGUGAUCUGUAUCCGGCCUGAGAGGGCGCACGGACACACUGGAACUGAAACACGGUCCAGACUCCUACGGGAGGCAGCAGUGGGAAUUUUGCGCAAUGGGGGAAACCCUGACGCAGCAACGCCGCGUGGAGGAUGAAGUCCCUUGGGACGUAAACUCCUUUCGAUCGGGACGAUUAUGACGGUACCAGAAGAAGAAGCCCGGCUAACUUCGCGCCAGCAGCCGC
rnacentral:rRNA from 1 species